rnacentral:rRNA from 1 species
GACGAACCGUGCGAACGUUAUUCGGAAUCACUGGGCGUAAAGAGCUCGUAGGCGGUCUGUCGCGUCUGCUGUGAAAUCCCGAGGCUCAACCUCGGGCUUGCAGUGGGUACGGGCAGGCUAGAGUGCGGUAGGGGAGAAUGGAACUCCUGGUGUAGCGGUGGAAUGCGCAGAUAUCAGGAAGAACACCGAUGGCGAAGGCAGUUCUCUGGGCCGUAACUGACGCUGAGGAGCGAAAGCGUGGGGAGCGAACAGG